GUAAGAAUUUUUUAAAUAUUAUAUAAAAUUAUAUUUAAAUUUUUUAAAAGUUAGAGUAUAGAAAUAUAAAUAAUUAUUUAAAUUAUAUAGAUAGUAAUGUGAAUGAAAAAGUUUUAUAAAUUUUAUUAAGUAAUUUUGAUUUAAUGUACCUUUUGUAUCAGGGUUUACUAAAAUAUAUUUUUUAUAGAAAAAAUUUUCGAAUUAAAAAGAGUUAAUUAAUUAUGAAAUUUGAUGUAUAAUAAUCAUUUUUAAUAUUUAUUUAGGGGAGAUAUUUUAGUCAAUUUUUUUGAUAUCUAAUUUUUUUUGAUAUAAAUUUAAUUUAUAUAUAAAAAGAUUAUAAAUAAAUAUUUAUGAUUUUUUAUAAUAUUUUUAUAUAAAAAAUUUGUGGGAUAAUCUGCAGAUUAAAUUAAAAAUUUGAUUAUAAAUUAUUUAAAAGUAUUCUUAAAAUUGGAAUUUUUUUUAAAAAAUUUAAUAAUUUAUAUAUUUAAUUGUGAUUAUUAAUUAUUUAUUUUAUAUAAUAAUUAUUAUUAUGAAUUAUGUUUUUUGUGAUAGAAUUUUUAUUAUAAUUUUUAAAGAUUUAAAAAAAUAUUUUAAUUAAUUAAUUGAAUUAAAAAAAAUAAUGGUAAAAUUAGUAUUAUAAAAAAUUAAUUUUUAAUAAAGCAAUAAAAAUUAAUAAUUGUAUUAUUUUUUUUAAUUAAUAUAUUUUUUAAGAAUUAGGCAAAUUUAAUUUAUUUAAUUUUUUAAUGAAAUUUUUCAUUAUAAAUUUUAUUAAAUAAAAUUAAGUCCACCUGUUUAAUAAAAACAUGGUUUUAAGAUUAAAAUUUAAGAUUUGUUCUGCUCAGUGAUGUUAAAAAUUAAAUAGCUGCAGUAUAUUGACUGUACUAAGGUAGCAUAAUCAAUUGUCUUUUAAUUGAAGGCUGGAAUGAAGGAAUGGAUGAGAUUUAAACUGUUUUAUAAAUAUAAUAAUAAUUUAUAUUUUAAGUUAAAAUUCUUAAAUAUAAUUAUGGGACGAGAAGACCCUAUAGAAUUUUAUAUAAUUUUUUUUGUUUAUAUUUUUGAAAAUUUAAAGGAAAUUAUAUUUUAUUGGGAGGAUAAUUAAAUUUAAUUAACUUUGAUUUAUAUAUAUGAAGUAAGAAUGAAUAUGAGAAAUUUUUAAAUUGUAAAAUUAUUAUUUUAUUCUUAUAGAAAAACAUUGAUGAAUGAUAAAUUUAUAAAUAAAAUUAAAAAAUGUAUUAAAAUUUUGAAGUAUGAAUUUAAUUAAUUUUUUAUUUUUAAAUUAAAAUUAAUUACCUUAGGGAUAACAGCAUAAUAUUUUUUUUAAGAUCUUAUUGAAAGAAUUGAUUGUGACCUCGAUGUUGAAUUAAAAUAAAAAUUAAAUGGAGAAAUUUAAUUAUUUAGUCUGUUCGACUAUUUAAAUUUUACAUGAUUUGAGUUUAGAUCGGUGUGAGCCAGAUCGGUUUCUAUCUAUAAUUUAAUGGUAAAUAAAUUUGUACGAAAGGACUUUUUAUUUAAAAUUAUUUUUAUUUAAAAAUGAGGAUUAAGUUAAAUAUUAAGAUUUUUUAUUU
rnacentral:rRNA from 1 species